CCGCUGCGUCCUCUUUAGUGGGCAUGCGCACCUCGGCAUACCAGGGCGACGGGAUCACAUCAUGUAGACCGAUGACCACCAAGGCCCAAGUUCAAUGGCUAUUGUGCUGCUUCCUCUCUCUGUGCAUCCUUACCACCUGAGGGCAGUACAAUACAGACCUACAUAUAAACAUGGAGCCAGUCAAUACUCCUCAAUAAAAUGCAAUAAUAUUAGUCCUUCUUCAUCUACACAGAGGAUAAGGAAUUUAUGCCUCAUAUUAUUAUUGUACGAUGGAAUACGGUGUUCCGUUGGCUCGUUUGCAGCACCAGGUGGGUAUUAGUGGUACUGCCGUUGAGUGGUUUAAAUCUUCUUUGCCUGACAGAACUUUUUUGUUAGCCUUAGCUGCUUUGAGUCCUGCACUGCACCACUGUCGUAUGGUGUUCCACAGGCUUCAAUUCUGGGGCUUCUGCUUUUCUCAUUCCUCCCUUUGGGUUCCAUCUUAAGUAGUCAUUGUAUUUCCUUUCACUACUAUGCAGAUGACUGUCGGAUCUGUGUCCCACUGAGCGAAAAAGGACACUUUCUCAUUGUUGAGACUUUUGUCCUGUCUGGAGGAAGUCAAGGCCUGCAUGGCACUGGAUUUCAGGAAGUUCAAUGAAAAGAAAACAGAUACCCUCUUAUAACUGGGAUGUGGCUGUGUUCAGAAUUGUCCAAUCAUGUUAAUUGGUAGUCCGCACACACCUGCCAGCAAUUAAAGUGCCUCUGAUUAACACCGAAUCAAAUUUCAGCCUGUGUUGGAUUUGGAACUGUUCAUAAUUUCCUCCUCCUUGACUUUGGCCCCAGUUUUAGCUGAGGAAAAACAGCCCCAAAUGAUGCUGCCACCACCAUCUUCACUAACUGACCUCCCAUUGCAAGUCCUUCAACAACGAAAGCAGAGAAAAGUCCUGCAGCAAUGACAAAACUGGCUUUACUGCUCAACCAAGCCAAGAAGCUGUGCUGGAUCAUCAACUUGUCAAAUAUGGAAGUACUGUAGUGUUAAUUGCUGCAGGGUGUAAAAGAACUAUCUGGAGUUCACUCCAGAAGUCUCUAUUUCAUACAUACAGUAAUCAUAUUCAUUUCAUGCAACGUGUAUGUCC